UGGUAUCUGGAUAGUGGAGAAGUGGAAAUGUGCUUUUCCCCCUUCCCUGUCCCAAAGCUUUCGCAUAUAGCAUGGAGAAGAUCCACAGAUCCUCUUAACCCUAAGCUCCCUUCUAGGAUACCACAAGCAGUUAAGGGAUCAAACAAAGCAAGUCCUUCCAUCCCUCUCUGAAAUAUACUCGGAGUUCAGUGCUGAUUUCAUGCUCUUUAUUUCAGCUCAUGGUAAACAGUGAGUGAGUGCUUUCCCCCCAAACCUCUGGUUAUAUAUACAGUGGUACCUCGGGUUACAUACGCUUCAGGUUACAGACUCCACUAACCCAGAAAUAGUGCUUCAGGUUAAGAACUUUGCUUCGGGAUGAGAACAGAAAUCGUGCUCCGGCGGCACAGCAGCAGGAGGAGGCCUCAUUAGCUAAAGCGGUGCUUCAGGUUAAGAACAGUUUCAGGUUAAGUACGGACCUCCGGAACGAAUUAAGUACUUAACCCGAGGUACCACUGUACAUUAUUUACACAAUGGGUCCCAUGUGAUUGGCUGAUUCAACUCCCCUCCUGGAGCCUGAGUGGACUGUUCCUGCAGGCCAAUCAGGAUGCUGAUUCACUUCCUCCUGGAGGCGGAUUGGGCUGCUCCUGUAGGUCAAUCAGGUUGCUGAUUCACUUCCUCCUGGAGCCGGAUUGGGUGGCUCCUGCAGACCAAUCAGGUUGCUGCCUUCUAGGAUCCUACUUGCCUAUUGUUCUAGGAUCCAAGCUCAGUGCAUAACACUCUCCACAUUCCUUUAAUCUGCAAACUGAAGUCAUCAACAUUUCAUAGGUCCUGGGAGUCACUGAGCAUAGAAAGAAAUGUCUUUUGGAUUUUCAAAACUUUUAUUUCCUAUUACUGUAUGAACAGAAUACUUUAGGAUUCCUGGGUUGCUCCUUGGUUAUACAGAAACCUACCUGUUAUGUCUGGCUGGCCCCUUUUUCUUCCAAACUGAUGGUCGUGUGGCAUGAGGCCACCCAAGUUUGCUAAUAGAGGAAAGGAUGCCAGAGCUCCAUAUCUGAAUGUCUCAGAAAAGUAUGAAUAAUACGCACCAUAGAAUUAAAAAAAUAUCUAUUUAUCCUCUUUUAUUCAAUCUUUCUAUUCUGUUCCUCCCUGGAGAACUAUUUCAAAGGUUAUCAUGUUCAUG